rnacentral:lncRNA from 1 species
UAUUAGAUUAUUAAUUUAUACAAAUUUUAAAAGUAAUUAAUUCAAGGAGUUUGUUUGAUUGUUUAUAGCUAUUAUUAUUAUACACGGAUUCGAAUAUAUUGUUUGGUUUGAUGUAAUUGAAUUUAACUAUUUUAGUUGGAAUUGUAUGAAAGAAUUCAACUGCAAUAGUUGGAAUUAUUAUGUCUAAAUUAUCUGCAAAUAGUUUGAGAGAGUAAUUUUAAUUAAAAACUAUAAAUUCUAUCUAAUCACCUUAUAAAUGUGAUUUUUUUUUUUUU